rnacentral:rRNA from 1 species
AUAAACGCUGGCGGCGUGCCUAACACAUGCAAGUCGAGCGAGAAAAUUCCUUCGGGAAUGAGUAAAGCGGCGGACGGGUGAGCAACGCGUGAGAACCUCCCCUUUAGUGAAGAAUACCUCCGAGAAAUCGGAGACAAUACUGCAUACGUCCCUUCGGGGAGAAAGGUGGCUUUAUGCUGCCGCUAAAGGAUGGGCUUGCGUACUAUUAGUUAGUUGGUAGGGUAACGGCCUACCAAGGCAAUGAUGGUUAACCGGCCUGAGAGGGUGUACGGUCACACUGGAACUGAGACACGGUCCAGACUCCUACGGGAGGCAGCAGUGGGGAAUAUUGCGCAAUGGGCGAAAGCCUGACGCAGCGACGCCGCGUGGAGGAUGAAGGUCUUCGGAUUGUAAACUUCUGUUAAGCGGGAAGAAAUCUUGGUUUUUAAUAGAAAUCAAGGAUGACGGUACCGCUAGAGAAAGCACUGGCUAACUUCGU